UCCCCCCAGAUUCCUUACCCCUCGCUCGGGUUCUUAGUCCAAGUGGCUGAAAAAGGAGGAAAAGUAAAACUCAAGUGGAUUUGGAGUCGUUUGUGUCAUACAAGU
rnacentral:snoRNA from 1 species